UACGGAGGAUCCAAGCGUUAUCCGGAUUUAUUGGGUUUAAAGGGUGCGUAGGCGGCCUAUUAAGUCAGGGGUGAAAGACGGUAGCUUAACUAUCGCAGUGCCUUUGAUACUGAUGGGCUUGAAUGUAGUUGAGGUAGGCGGAAUGUGACAAGUAGCGGUGAAAUGCAUAGAUAUGUCACAGAACACCAAUUGCGAAGGCAGCUUACUAAAGUAUGAUUGACGCUGAGGCACGAAAGCGUGGGGAUCAAAACAGG
rnacentral:rRNA from 1 species